rnacentral:lncRNA from 1 species
GGGGUGCAACUACUCUAUUGGCAUGAGAUGCUAUGGGUAAAGAUGAGAUUGAGCCCAAUAAUUAUUAAAUGAGGGACCCAAUAGCGGCAUUGUACUUGUAUUGAAUGGUGGGUUUGACUUAGCUAAGAAAUAGGACAAAUAACUAUUAAGUGAGGCUUCAAAACUUAGAGAUCGGUAACCACUAUAAUUUGCUUGAGAAGCAAUAGACAAAAGUUGUCUACUCAUCAGUUGACGCAUUACCAAUAAUUGUUAGAUGAGGUGGUGUGCAAUUGAUGAGAUCACGUAUCCACUUGAAAUCUUAAUCAUGAAGGUUUUCAUUUCUCCAUCAGAGG